GUGCUCACUUCAGCAGCACAUAUACUAAAAUUGGAACGAUACAGAGAAGAUUAGCAUGGCCCUUGUGCAAGGAUGACAUGCAAAUUCGUGAAGCGUUCCCUAUUUUU
ensembl:snRNA U6 U6 spliceosomal RNA